ACGAACGCUGGCGGCGUGCCUAAUACAUGCAAGUCGAACGAACGGAUAAAGAGCUUGCUCUUUUGAAGUUAGUGGCGGACGGGUGAGUAACACGUGGGUAACCUGCCUCACAGCUGGGGAUAACAUCGAGAAAUCGAUGCUAAUACCGAAUGUGCUGAACAUCAUAAGAUGUUCAAGUGAAAGACGGUUUCGGCUGUCACUGUGAGAUGGACCCGCGCUGGAUUAGCUAGUUGGUAAGGUAAUGGCUUACCAAGGCGACGAUCCAUAGCCGACCUGAGAGGGUGAUCGGCCACAUUGGGACUGAGACACGGCCCAAACUCCUACGGGAGGCAGCAGUAGGGAAUCUUCGGCAAUGGACGAAAGUCUGACCGAGCAACGCCGCGUGAGCGAAGAAGGCCUUCGGGUCGUAAAGCUCUGUUGUUAGAGAAGAACAUGGGUGAGAGUAACUGUUCGCCCCUUGACGGUAUCUAACCAGAAAGCCACGGCUAACUACGUG
rnacentral:rRNA from 1 species